rnacentral:rRNA from 1 species
UACGUAGGGGGCAAGCGUUGUCCGGAAUCAUUGGGCGUAAAGAGCGUGUAGGCGGCUCGGUAAGUCCGCUGUGAAAGUCCAGGGCUCAACCCUGGAAUGCCGGUGGAAACUGUCGAGCUAGAGUCCGGAAGAGGCGAGUGGAAUUCCUGGUGUAGCGGUGAAAUGCGUAGAUCUCGAGAGGAACGCUCGCUGCGAAAGCGAAGCUCUGGCCAAAUUCUGACGCUGAGGCACGAAGGCUAGGGGAGCGAACGGG